AGCAUCAUUAUAAUAAAAAGUAAUAGCUCUAUACAGCAAUAAAUAGAAAUAAUUCUUGAUAAGAUGUUUCAACAUGGAUGACUGUUGAAAAUAUGCUAAGUAAAAGAAAAACUGAAAGAUCACAUAUCAUGAUUUCAUUUAUAUGAAUUUCUGAGAAAGAGCAAUCUCUAGAGAGAAGUUAAUAGUUGCGUGGAAGUGGGCAUUGACUGAAUGAGCAGAACGGAACUUUUUGAGUGAUAAUGGUUGUGCAACUGUAUGUUUACUAAAAUCAGUAGGAUGUACACUUAUAAUCAGAUUUUAUGAUAUGUAAAUUAUGUCAGGAAAUUCUGUUUUAAAGCAUGGGGGGACUAUGGGAGGAAAAACAAACUGCUGGAACAUCUGUAUUUUUAGAGUCUGAAAUGAGGACUAUUAGGAAGGAUUUUAAUAGAGGAAAAAAUAACAUAGUACUUUUGCCCAGAGAAAACAAAUUGAAGUGAUUUUGCCCUCCCCUCAGAUUCCACUCCCCACAUAGAUCCCUUCAGAUAGAUUGGUAUUUGUUAUCAGGCCACACACAGGGACCUUCUUCCUCUCCCACUUUGUACCCGUGACUUCUAUACACACGAAUACACGCACACGCCUUUUUUUAAAUUAAAAUUCCUAUUAACAUAAAAUUUAUUUUAACGAAUUUGAAGUGUCCAGUUUAGUCAUUUUAGUAUAUUCAAAGUGUUUUACAACUGUCAUCACUAUGUAAUUUCAGAAUAUUUCCAUCACCCCAAGAAGAAACCCUUUACUUCUCAAUUCCCACCUCCCAUGCCCUUUCAACCACUGUUUAUUUUCUGUGUCUGGUUUUGCUUAUUCUGGACAUUUCAUAUAAAUAGGAGCAUGAAAUGUGGCCUUUUGCUUCUGGCAUCUUUCACUUUGCAUAUUGUUUUCAGUCAUCUUUUUAUAUUUUAACCAAGCAGUCUAUUAUGGGCAUCAUUAUGUAUGUUGAACACUGAAAUUUAUUUUUUACUUCACCAGUUCCCUGCUGUUGAACAACUGGGAUCUUUGUACCUUCCUUUAAAAAUUAC
ensembl:lncRNA